GGGAAAGGCGCCUGUGUGCUCGGACGCGCCCGGCGCGGCCCAGCCCGUACCAGGCGGCCCCCCCCUGACCUACAGUAAGCCCCCGGGCUCGGCCUGGGGUUGGAUUUGCAGUAACAGGUGCGCGGCGGGAAGAGCUGUGUGUGCACGGAACGAAAAUCUGGUUUGGUACAAAGUGAAGAAUGAUGUAAAAAUAAAUUUUUUUUAAAUCUG